CCCUUAGAUGUUCUGGGCCGCACGCGUGCUACACUGAGUGGAUCAGCGGGUCAGGUUGCGCGAAAGCGUUUCCUAAUCUUUAAAUCCGCUCGUGAUGGGGAUUGACGGUUGCAAUUUUCUGUCAUGAACGAGGAAUACCUUGUAGGCGCGUGUCAUCAUCACGCGCCGAAUACGUCCCUGCCCUUUGUACACACCGCCCGUCGCUCCUACCGAUUGAGUGAUCCGGUGAGGCUCUGGGACCUGGACGGAAAGAGCGUUUCGCUUGUUCUGUUUGGGAAACUUGGUCGAACCUUAUCAUUUAGAGGAAGGAGAAGUCGUAACA
rnacentral:rRNA from 1 species